rnacentral:rRNA from 1 species
GUAGGUGGCAAGCGUUGUCCGGAAUUAUUGGGCGUAAAGCGCGCGCAGGCGGUUCUUUAAGUCUGAUGUGAAAGCCCACGGCUCAACCGUGGAGGGUCAUUGGAAACUGGAGAACUUGAGUACAGAAGAGGAAAGCGGAAUUCCACGUGUAGCGGUGAAAUGCGUAGAGAUGUGGAGGAACACCAGUGGCGAAGGCGGCUUUCUGGUCUGUAACUGACGCUGAGGCGCGAAAGCGUGGGGAGCAAACAGGGAUUAGAUACCCUGGUAGUCCACGCCGUAAACGAUGAGUGCUAAGUGUUAGGGGGGUUUCCGCCCCCUUAGUGCUGCAGCUAACGCGUUAAGCACUCCGCCUGGGGAGUACGGCCGCAAGGCUG